UACGUAGGGUGCAAGCGUUAAUCGGAAUUACUGGGCGUAAAGCGUGCGCAGGCGGUUAUAUAAGACAGUUGUGAAAUCCCCGGGCUCAACCUGGGAACUGCAUCUGUGACUGUAUAGCUAGAGUACGGUAGAGGGGGAUGGAAUUCCGCGUGUAGCAGUGAAAUGCGUAGAUAUGCGGAGGAACACCGAUGGCGAAGGCAAUCCCCUGGACCUGUACUGACGCUCAUGCACGAAAGCGUGGGGA
rnacentral:rRNA from 1 species